CCGGCCCUCUAGCUGGGCUCAGAGGCUCUCCUAGACCCAGGUCUCGAGGCAAUCAGAAGUGACAGGCGAGAAGGACUCUACCAUAGUAGGGAAGACGUGAGACAUGACAGACUUCCCUCCAACUCAACGUAAAGUCAGAGACGGAAUUGGGGACCCUGCAGCUGAACACUCGAGGAGGCCCAGGGGCUGAUGCUUGCUCUAGAUGUGUGACACCUGUGCAGAAGCCCUUCCCAGAGAGGUAAGUCUUCAGGGAAGGAUGUCUCUCCACCCCUCGGACAGUGUGGACCUCAGUGACUGCGUCUGCCCCAGAGGAGUUACAAUGUACGGUCACAGAGCUGUUUCCUGGCUCACGAAGAAAAUCCAGGAAUGUGCAGGGGCCUUUGCAGCUUUGUCCAGGAUGUCCACGCUAGGAAGGCCUGGGCUGACCUAUCUGUAGGUGGGCAUCUUUCUAGAAGUGAGGGAUCCGGGCUCAGGCCGCUUCUUCCUUGGCUAGAGCCUACACGCUGGGAGACUGGCUGCAGUCACACUUCCGCUCAAUGGAGAGUCCGCAGACAGCGUGAGGCCAACACACAGCAGGCCAGGAGCACUGCAAGUUGAGGCCGGUCCUGGGCUGCCUCUAAGAUCUGUGUUCUUGUCUUGGACUCUGUGAUUCAUCUACGUAUUCUUAUUACAAAUUCUUGUUUGCUUAGGCUAGCUCCAGUGGGUUUCUAUGACUUCCAUCUAUCUAUACAUAAAAAAACCCCAACACAUUAGUAAAAUUCCUUUGAAAAAUUCCAGCCCUGUCUUGCCUGAACUAAGAAGAAAAACAAAACAUUCAACAAAAGCCAGAAACGUGAGCCAAAUGUGGCAGAGGCCAUUCAGCCACUGCUGGAGAACUCUGGGUUGA